GAGGAAUGAUAACAACUCAUCGUGAGGUUAUAAACGCUCAGUUGAUGCAAGGAGCAGCAAAGCAAUAAACUGGGAAACCAGGAGGAACACCACCAGGCAAACGACCAUUGAAACCUCACAACACAGACAAAUGAAAGAGUUUUUAAAAAUCAGGUUGAGGUUAGGGACUGUGGGAAUUCAACAGAAAACCAUCAGAUGGAAAGUACACAAAGAAGAGAAAACAUCCAGGAAGGAAAAAGAUGAAGGCUAUGAAUUGAGGAAACCUAAAUGGGAUGAAUUCAACCAAAAAAGAAAGAGUUGAAGCAGAAUCGCCAGCAGAAUGAGAAAAAAGAGAGUUACCAGACUGUGAGCAGAGCAAAGCAAGCAUGGGAAAUUGUAAGGCAGUAUAAUUUAUUGCAUGGGAGAUUGUUGUCUAUGGGUAUUUCUUUUGUUCUGGGUCUUUUUAAGCCCUUUUGAUGCUGUCAGAUAAUAAUAAUCACUCAUAAAACAUCUCAGGCUCAGCAGUCGUUUUGCGAAACCAUCAUCAACAAAUGUCAUUUCCAUCACGUUUCAAAUUACAUAUUCUUUCUGUGGUGGGAAGUAAGGAUUUUAUGCAUCCUUAAUGCACACAAUUAAUAUUAUUUACACACAUCUUACAUAAUUUGAUGAAGAAUUACAGCUUGAUUAGAA